GGUGUUUAAACUCCUCUUCGCAAGGAAUCAAAAUUCUAGUUGAUAAAGGAGCAACUGGAGAAGAAGAAGAAGGGUGACCGGAAAAAGAACCAGACGCUAAAGAAGGAGGCUGGCCAUCGUCGUCACUGCACCAAAGCCAUUACCGACGCCAAAAUAGGUAUUUUUUCUCCAUCUGGCUCGGGAUUCAAUCCUGAAUCUCAUUAUGCCCAUAUCAGAGCCAAAUGGCUUAUG
rnacentral:lncRNA from 1 species